rnacentral:rRNA from 1 species
GUUUUACCGUAAACUCAGAUAAUAAAACAUAAUUAUUAUUCACCAGGGUACUAUGAGCCUAAGCUUAAAACCCAAAGGACUUGGCGGUGCUUUAUACCCCCUAGAGGAGCCUGUUCUAGAAUUGAUGGUCCCCGCUUAACCUCACCACUCCUAGCCUUCAUCCGCCUAUAUACCGCCGUCAUCAGUUUACCCUAUGAAGGAAUACAAGUAAGCAAAAUAAGUAAAACUUAAAAUGUCAGGUCAAGGUGUAGCAUAUGAAGUGGGAAGAAAUGGGCUACAUUCCUUUUAUCAAGGCAUCGCGAAAGACGCUGUGAAAUCAGCCCAGAAGAUGGAUUUAGUAGUAAAAAGAAAAUAGAGAGUUCUUUUGAAAUAGGCCCUAAAGCACGU